GCCUGGGUGGCUCACUUGGUUAAGCAUCUGACUUCAGCUCAGGUCAUGAUCUCACAGGUCAUGGGUUCAAGUCCUGUGCUGGGCU
rfam:Felis catus isolate Cinnamon breed Abyssinian chromosome B4, whole genome shotgun sequence.